UGCACUGCGCAUUGUCAGGAUGUGGCCCGGUCAGACUUAAUCUUUCCUCCUCUUUCUCCUCCUUCUAGGAUACAAAAUUAGAUUUUCUGGUACUCAACAGAGGUUAUGGCACCCAAUUUCACUAGCCAUAGCUUUCUUAGAAUCCUGUUAUAGGGAGACGGGUCGCUGACUAUAAUGAACGUCUGCUUUGAGACUACUGGUGGUGUUUUCACAUCGAGUGUUAUGUUGCUAAUAGCAGUUCAGGUGUAUUCGUUGAAUCUGGUGAAUACCUCUGCUCGGCGUAUUAUUAUUCUUUCCAGGCCCAUCUUUUGAAUGACUGAUAACUAAAGUAGAUUUAUUAUUUUGUCGUUGUCCACCAUCACUCUAUUGACUAUAGCAUGUGCCAAUUUAACAGAUACUACUAGAGCAUCGUUGUGUGGGAAGUCAACUCCCUCAGCAUCCUACUUGGUGAAAUCAACGAUAAGUCCAGGUUUGGCAUCAGGUUCUUAAACCUAGGAG
rnacentral:lncRNA from 1 species